rnacentral:rRNA from 1 species
GCUGAACUUAAGCAUAUCAAUAAGCGGAGGAAAAGAAACUAACAAGGAUUCCCCUAGUAACUGCGAGUGAAGCGGGAAAAGCUCAAAUUUAAAAUCUGGCGGUUGCACCGUCCGAGUUGUAAUCUGGAGAAGCGUUUUCCGUGUUGGACCGUGUACAAGUCCCUUGGAACGGGGCGUCAUAGAGGGUGAGAAUCCCGUCCAUGACACGGACUACCAAUGCUUUGUGAUACGCUCUCGAAGAGUCGAGUUGUUUGGGAAUGCAGCUCAAAAUGGGUGGUAAAUUCCAUCUAAAGCUAAAUAUUGGCGAGAGACCGAUAGCGAACAAGUACCGUGAGGGAAAGAUGAAAAGCACUUUGGAAAGAGAGUUAAACAGUACGUGAAAUUGUUGAAAGGGAAACGCUUGGAGUCAGUCGCGUCUGUCGAGACUCAGCCUUGCCUUCGGGCUUGGUGUACUUCUCGGCCUGACGGGCCAACAUCGAUUUCGAACGGCGGAUAAAGGUCUGGGGAAGGUGGCACCUUCGGGUGUGUUAUAGCCCCUCUCCGUAUACGUCGUCUGGGAUCGAGGACCGCAGCACGCCCUUGUGGCUGGGGCCCUUUGCCCACAUAACGUGCUUAGGAUGUUGGCGUAAUGGCUUUAAGCGACCCGUCUUGANACACGGACCAAGGAGUCUAACAUGCCCGCGAGUGUUAGGGUGUAAAACCCUUGCGCGUAAUGAAAGUGAAAGUUGGGACCUCUGUCGAGGAGGGCACCGACGCCCGGCCCUGAACUCUUGUGACGGUGCUGCGGUAGAGCGUGUAUGUUGGGACCCGAAAGAUGGUGAACUAUGCCUGAAUAGGGCGAAGCCAGAGGAAACUCUGGUGGAGGCUCGUAGCGAUUCUGACGUGCAAAUCGAUCGUCAAAUUUGGGUAUAGGGGCGAAAGACUAAUCNAACCAUCUAGUAGCUGGUUCCUGCCGAAGUUUCCCUC